rnacentral:rRNA from 1 species
AGUGAACGCUGGCGGUAGGCCUAACACAUGCAAGUCGAACGGCAGCACAGUAAGAGCUUGCUCUUACGGGUGGCGAGUGGCGGACGGGUGAGGAAUACAUCGGAAUCUACUUUUUCGUGGGGGAUAACGUAGGGAAACUUACGCUAAUACCGCAUACGACCUACGGGUGAAAGCAGGGGAUCUUCGCACCUUGCGCGAUUGUAUUAGCCGAUGUCGGAUUAGCUAGUUGGCGGGGUAAAGGCCCACCAAGGCGACGAUCCGUAGCUGGUCUGAGAGGAUGAUCAGCCACACUGGAACUGAGACACGGUCCAGACUCCUACGGGAGGCAGCAGUGGGGAAUAUUGGACAAUGGGCGCAAGCCUGAUCCAGCCAUACCGCGUGGGUGAAGAAGGCCUUCGGGUUGUAAAGCCCUUUUGUUGGGAAAGAAAAGCAGCGGGUUAAUACCCCGCUGUUCUGACGGUACCCAAAGAAUAAGCACCGGCUAACUUCGUG